UUCCGCCGUUAAACUAGCAAAAGUGGAUUUGGACACAUCCUAAAUGCACUUGCACCAUAUGCCUCAGACCAUGUGCUUUACAUCAUUAAAAUAGGGCCUAUAUUCUGUCAUCCAUUUCCAUUGCUGCUGCUGUUGGUGCAGCGGAUUUAGAGGCUGUGCUCCUUCCCCAGCCUUAUUGCUGGGUGCCCUUCAUUUUUUUUCACACUUUUUAAAAAGCUUUGCCAAUAAGCCAGCUAUGGAGUUACACCUGGGCCACACAGCCUUCCUUUACCUGAACAGGGCAUGUGCUUCGCUGAACUGCUGCAUCUCGCAGGCCUAUGGUGUCCACACAGACGGUGUUGCUGCUGUGGUGCUGCUACUGCCAGCUCUAUCUUUCUACAAAGAGCUUGGCUUUGAUAAUGGCCAUCAAUAAUAGCAUGUUUCAUAUCAUUUCAUUAUAAAUGUCAUUUAUAUUUAGUUUAGACAAUAAAAGGUUAAGAAGCAUGUGCUCAAUUGUGAAAAAUAAAUAGAUAAUAUGUCAUCUUUCUGAUGGGCCUGGGGUCUGGUUGGGGCUACUUCUGUGUCAGACACAUACACUCCUCACACAGGACGGGUUGUUUUUUAUAUUUAUUAUUCCGCCAGUUAAACCCCUGCUGUCACCGCUGCAAGUGAGGAAAAUCCCUCCAGACGACACCAACUUCCCCAAACGAAGCAAACACACUCUGACAAACAAACCAACAGUCAGGAGGGAAACUGACAACAAAUAAGGAAAGUAACAACACCAAAUCCUCGGUUUGAACUAAUAUCACAGAAAGCAUCAGGCUGACCCACAGUGGUGACACUUCAUGUCUGUGACAAAUUCUACAGAUAUAGACUUUGAAACUAUAGUGGAAAGUGUAUUGUUGCUGGUAUGAUGUCACUAUAACUGUCAACAGAUCAUUUCCCUGUCUAUUUUUGCUGAGAACCGUGCGUCACAUGGAAAAAAUAGGCGAGACCCCGAAUCUAUAGAUGAGGCACCACAUCAGUUGUGCGUGAGACGUGCGGCCCUGCAGGCUUUACAGUAGAGGAGAGUUGUCUUAUUCACCUCUUCAACACCAAGCCAGUAUAUUUUCAAUUUUUCUAUUGUAGAAGCAGCAACUUUCUUUGCCAUCUUAUUUGCCGGGGGUGGUGUUGGUGAUGGUCCAGGAUUUAGGUUGCUUUCCUCAGUAACAGUUGGAGCUUUUUUAAUGAGGUACUGGUCCAUUGCAGCAGCCAACUUCACUGCAGGUGCAGGAUUGCCUGGCCUCUGCCAGGUAUCAUUACAGCAGUGUAGUGUGAAGAACAGCGCUGUUUGUGUGAGUUUGUGUUAGAGACGAAAGCAGAAAUGAAAUUAAUUGAAUGAAGAUAAAAUGAUGGCCUAAUGUGCUAUUAGAAUAUUGGCCUAAACUGGUAAAUAUAAAAAAAAUUUUUUCGAAAUCUUAGGGGCAAUUUUUGCCCCUCGAUCACAGUUUUUAGGGGCAUUCUGAGAUUUCCUCGGGCAUUUUUGCCCUUGCCCUCCAUUAAUUUCCGACGCUGAAUGCAAUGGAAAUGAUUCAUUUUCAUCUGAACUGAGAGAUCACUUUAUGUAGAUUUGCAACACGGACCUUGGCUAUGAAGUCCACAAGGUACACCCCACCACUGAGUCUACAGAUGAAAACCUGCCUGAUCCGAAACAGAUUUUUCACUUGGAAAUGCCCAGGGUUAGGGUAAGGAAGACCAACAGAGGUCUCACCAGUCCAGAUGUGAUUUGAAAACAACACAAAAAACAAUGAAUAAAUAUUUGUGCACCA